AUGCAUUCAAGACCCCCAGUCAGGCCUUGGCUCUCCAGGGGCAGUAAAUUUUCUUCAGUGGGUGUUGUGUCCAGGCCCCAGACAUCUUAAAUCUCUGCCUCAGGAGUAGGGGGCAGGGAGGUCUGUGAAAGCUGUGAAUGGAUGGAUGUUCCUGAUCAGUGCAUCGGUGUGUGUGUGUGUGUGUAUGUGUGUGUGUGUGUGUGUGUGUGUGUGUGUGUGUUUCAGAUAAGUAUUCAGUGAGGCAGCGUGUUCUGGGCCUUCUAUAGAACUUAGCCUAAUGCACUGGGGACAAGGAGACACCUGCUCCAGCCUUGGGAGGCAAAGAAAAUACCUGGGCUUCCUUUGUGCAAGCUCUAGUAUGCUUGUCCCAAAGAGACUGUGUGUGUGUGUGUGUGUGUGUGUGUGUGUGUGUGUGUGUGUGCGCGCGCGCACAGGUGUAUGUAUGAGCACAUGGGAAGGUGAGAGGACACUGUGGGAAAGCCAAUGGUACCCUUUCAUCUCUUCGUGAUACCCGGGUUGGUUUCCAUUAACUUGACACAACACGAGACUCACCUGGGAAGAGGCGAUCUUAAUUGUGAAAUUCCUCCUCUGUAAGAGUGACCUGUAGGAGCAGCUGUGGUUUUCUCCAUCUUUAUUGCUAUAAAUCAGGUGACUUACAGCGUUUUAGCGACUCGGCUUACAUCAUCACCUUCGUCACCAGAACAAGAUGCCGAAUUCUCAUCUCCUCCAGCACUCUGCCCACCUGCCUGCCUGCCUGCUGCUGCCUGCUGUUUCCUGUCAUGAUGAUAAUGGACUGAACCUCUAAAACUGUAAGCCGGGCCCAGUUAAGUGUUCUUUAUAGGGGGCUGGAGAGAUGGCUCAGUGGUUAAGAGCACUGACUGCUCUUCCAGAGGUCCUGAGUUCAAAUCCCAGCACCCACAUGGUGGCUCACAACCAUCUGUAAUGGGAUCCGAUGCCCUCUUCUGGUGUGUCUGAAGACAGCUACA